GUGGUGGGCCAGUAGGGGGAGCUCCUGUGUUAAGUCUCCCACCUCACUAUGACCGUCCACCUUCCGGACUCCACGUGUCUCUCCAGGGGUGCCUAAGCCCUGGCAGGCCCCCUUUCGAGCCCCACUGCAGAGUCUGGAGGUAACAUGUGAUGCCACCACCCCGAAAAGGGACUGUCUAGAUCCAGUGUCCUCGGGGAAACACAGGCCUAAUAGUCCUACAGGUACUCCACCCAAUACAAGAACUUGGGAUACCUCCCCAAGUCAGGGGCAAAAAUAGUCUCCCUUAGUCAGCAGACCCAAGGGGCCUCCUAGGCAUAAUUAAACCCACCCCUCAAUAAGUCUCCUGUACCAGUCACAAAGGAGAACUUUAUUGCUCCUGACAGGGUGAGGUAGAAUAGGGUAAAAGGUAGAGCACUAUCAAGGGAUUACCAUUGAGCAAAACAAUCUGGCUGAGGUAACCAUUUGAUAGACAAAUGCAUCACUGUGAGCUGACUAGCUCUCUAGAAACACUUACAAGUAUCAUUCAGAAGAUGCUAGAGAUCUGGCUCUGAGAUUUCCGGAGAGAGAGUGUUUCAGAUGGAUCAGACUCUCUCGCUGUGUCCUGAUGCUUGAGCUAUGCUGGUAAAAUGGCUUCUCCCCUUCUUAUUCUUGGACCAGGCCCUUAUAUAGCCUUUCUGACCUCAGCAGCCCAGUCUAAUAGAAGCCAGCAGUGUUGGCAACUGGCCAACCAAUUUAAAAAGCAUCACUGGUUAACUGGGCAGAUGAGCAGGGGCUUUUCCUCUUCCCACUCAGGUGACCAGAGGGACCACACCCUAAGCACCAGGCCUUUUUCACAUAGGCAGGGAGGAAAAUCCCCCCUCUCUUAGGAAUUCAACCCCAGUGUCUCACGCUGGCAGGGACAGAUUCCUGGGGGGAGACACAGACGUUGGCAUUUCUGCCACACUCUCUAUCAUGGGGGCUCUGCAA